GACGAACGCUGGCGGCGUGCUUAACACAUGCAAGUCGAACGAAGUGGCGAACGGGUGAGUAACGCGUAAUCAACUUGCCCUUCUGAGGGGGACAACAGUUGGAAACGACUGCUAAUACCGCAUACUGAAGGAGGGGAUUGCGUCUGAUUAGCUAGUUGGGGGGGGAACGGCCCACCAAGGCGAUGAUCAGUAAGCGGUCUGAGGGGGUGGACGGGCAAAUUGGGACUGGGAAACGGCCCAGACUCCUACGGGAAGGAACAGUGGGGGAACUUCCGGAAUGGACGAAAGUCUGACGGAGCAACGGCGCGUGAGUGGAGAAGGUUUUCGGGUCGUAAAGCUCUGUUGUUAAGGAAGCGGUACUUAACCAGAAAGGGACGGCUAACUACGUGCCAGCAGCCGCGGUAAUAC
rnacentral:rRNA from 1 species